rnacentral:misc_RNA from 1 species
AACGGUCUAUACCUGCGGUACCUGCGGAGGGAUCAUUAAUGAGAAGCUGCCCCUCGUGGGUAGACCUCCCACCCUCUGUGAACUUACCUUUGUUGCUUUGGCAGGCCCGUCCUCUGGACCGCCGGCUUCGGCUGGCCCGUGCCUGCCAGAGGAUUCCAAACCCUGUCUGUCAGUGUUGUCUGAGUCUAUAUGAAAUCGUUAAAACUUUUAACAACGGAUCUCUAGAUCGGAAGAGCACAC